UAGCUAAAGGGGUUCCAGUUGGAGGGAU
rnacentral:piRNA from 1 species